rnacentral:rRNA from 1 species
ACGAACGCUGGCGGCAUGCCUAACACAUGCAAGUCGAACGAGACCUUCGGGUCUAGUGGCGCACGGGUGCGUAACGCGUGGGAACCUGCCCUUAGGUUCGGAAUAACUCCCCGAAAGGGGUGCUAAUACCGGAUAAUGUCUUCGGACCAAAGAUUUAUCGCCUUUGGAUGGGCCCGCGUUGGAUUAGCUAGUUGGUAGGGUAAAAGCCUACCAAGGCGACGAUCCAUAGCUGGUCUGAGAGGAUGAUCAGCCACACUGGGACUGAGACACGGCCCAGACUCCUACGGGAGGCAGCAGUGGGGAAUAUUGGACAAUGGGCGAAAGCCUGAUCCAGCAAUGCCGCGUGAGUGAUGAAGGCCCUAGGGUUGUAAAGCUCUUUUACCCGGGAUGAUAAUGACAGUACCGGGAGAAUAAGCUCCGGCUAACUCCGUG